rnacentral:tRNA from 1 species
AUCCGCUUUGGUGUGGCACGCGGUGUCUUCUCGAACGAGGCGAGCCUCGGCUCGGCGCCGAUUGCGCAUGCC